GCCAGCAUGAUGUAGUGGUUUGAGUGCUGGACUAUGACUCUGGAGAUCAGGGUUCGAUUCCCUCCUUUGCUA